CUUACCUCUCCAGUGUAGAGUAACGGGACCUAGGAACUACCGCUUGUGGUUGAUUGAAUUGUCGAUUUUUCCGAAUCGAUUCAAUUGUCUUAUUUCUAUCACAGUCGUAGUUACUAGAUAACGAUACUCGUUCGUCUCGUUAACGUGC
rnacentral:precursor_RNA from 11 species